AGCGAAUCGAGAGACGAAGCAGCUGGACCCGAGCCUGAAAGACGUCAAGAUGUAGGAGUUGACAAGGAGAGCAAACAAAACGGAGCGGCAUCAACCGAGGAGGGGAAAUUGAAGAAGGAACAAGUUGGUGAUCAAGACAAACCUCGGCUUAUCUGUUUCAGAUAUGUGGCACUGCAGGUCUUCAUUCGAGGUCACCUCCUCCAAAAACCAACUACGCUUUGUUUACAAAUAGAUCCACAGACUUCCGUAUCAACUUUGAAACAGAAAAUAGAGGAGAAAAUCAGUGUCCAGUCUCAACAACAGCGACUGUUCAUUCGAAGAAAUUUCCGUAACUUAGAGCUCUGUAACUUGCUGACACUACACGACUAUGGAAUUCAACAGGACGAGAACAUCUCACUUCGUCUGUGUACCGAUGGCCUACUGGGCGG